UUCAUGCUGUGAAGGGGUU
rnacentral:miRNA from 1 species